UUCCUACUCCCUCCGUUCCGAAUUACUUGUCUUGGAUUUGUCUAGAUACGGAGGUAUCUAGCACUAAAUGAGUCUAGAUACAUCCGUAUCUAGACAAAUCCAAGACAAGUAAUUCGGAGCGGAGGGAGUAGUAG
rfam:Triticum aestivum genome assembly, contig: Triticum_aestivum_CS42_TGACv1_scaffold_211081_3AS